rnacentral:rRNA from 1 species
CCUACGGGUGGCAGCAGUGAGGAAUAUUGGUCAAUGGACGAGAGUCUGAACCAGCCAAGUAGCGUGAAGGAUGACUGCCCUAUGGGUUGUAAACUUCUUUUAUAUGGGAAUAAAAUGUUCCACGUGUGGGAUUUUGUAUGUACCAUAUGAAUAAGGAUCGGCUAACUCCGUGCCAGCAGCCGCGGUAAUACGGAGGAUCCGAGCGUUAUCUGGUUUUAUUGGGUUUAAAGGGAGCGUAGGUGGAUUGUUAAGUCAGUUGUGAAAGUUUGCGGCUCAACCGUAAAAUUGCAGUUGAAACUGGCAGUCUUGAGUACAGUAGAGGUGGGCGGAAUUCGUGGUGUAGCGGUGAAAUGCUUAGAUAUCACGAAGAACUCCGAUUGCGAAGGCAGUUCACUGGACUGCAACUGACACUGAGGCUCGAAAGUGUGGGUAUCAAACAGGAUUAGAUACCCGUGUAGUC